rnacentral:rRNA from 1 species
GUUGCCAUCAGUUCGGCUGGGCACUCUAUGGAGACUGCCACCUAAAGUGAGGAAGUGGGGAUGACGUCAAGUCAGCAUGGCCCUUACUCCGGGGCUACACACGUGCUACAAUGGCCGGUACAAAGGGUUGCGAAGCCGUGAGGUGGAGCGAAUCUCAAAAAGCCGGCCUCAGUUCGGAUUGGAGGCUGCAACUCGCCUCCAUGAAGUCGGAAUCGCUAGUAACCGCAAGAUCAGCUACGUUGCGGUGAAUACGUUCCCGGGCCUU